rnacentral:tRNA from 1 species
CGUUAGCUCAAUUGGUAGAGCAGCUGACUCUUAAUCAGUUGGUUCGAGGUUCGAGUCCUC